CACGCUAGCCCCCCCUCCGCCCCCCUCCCCCCCGAGGCGGCCGCUGCCACCAAGGGCCCAGAGGAUGGCACGAAGGUGAGCCAGCCCCUCUCUGGAUAGAAUAAGCCCCUGAGAGAUGGACGGCCGGUCGUGGUGGAGGGCAAGUCGUCUCCAUCAGCAGUGCUGUCCUCCAAGAUGGCCGAGCCCAAACCCACCCGCACCGGAGCCAUCAAGCCGCAGGCUGCCAAGCUAGAGGAGGGGAAGGCCUAAAACACCUCAGAGAAGAGGGGAACCCCCCCCCAUAACCCCUAACCCUGCCACACACUUACACAGCCAGACGGGCACCCACCAACUACACCCAUGGGGGUUAUCUACCAGGGUCAUCUGCUACAACACAGAAGACCCCCUCCCAACACACACACACACACACACACUUACCCACUCAGCGAACCCCCACCUACAUCCUUGGGGCUACCAUCCCAAGGGUGAUCGACCUGCCUCUUCCCCACCCAUCACCUCAGCUGAGCCGGUUCCCUCCCUUCUGUGUCUGAUGGUCCCCUUAUCCCCCAGCCCUCCUCCUCUUCCUCCUCCUCCUCCAUCACCCUCUUCUGGGUCAUCCUGCAUCGCCUGUCAGUCAACAGGCUGCCUCCAAUGGACUAACAGACCAACUCCGGGUAAAGAAGAAGAGUGGAGAAUGAAAAAAAAAACAGACAAAAAAAGUAUGGAAUCGGAUACUAUUGCUGAACACCACAUAUAUAGAGAUAUAAAAAAAUAUAUAUACAUAAAUGUAUACAUAUUAUAUAAAUAUAUAUAAAUGCAUAGACACGAUAGUUUGGGACAUUUCUAAGCAGACUCCUCAAGAAUCCAUCUUUUAUUUAUUAACAUUUAACAAAAAAAUACCAUUUCAAGAGAAGAAUAAUGUUGAGCAAGACAAAAGGAGAAAUGCAGAGGAAAAAAAAGGAAAAACAAAUCACGUUCGUUUUCUACAUUGCUCUCCAUCAAAGCGUGAAGGAGCAGAGGGAGGGGGGUAGAGCGAGAGAGAGACACGUCUGUCUGUCUGCUGCCCCCUCUCCACAUCUGCGUUCAUCCUCAUCUUCUCCAGGCCUUUGCCAAAACGAGAGCGCCCGCCCGCCCGUCGCAGCUCUCUCGGGGUGUGGAGACUGCCACUGGUGCCAGAGAAUUUGCUGGGGAAAAAAACGCCGCACGCCAUGCCACAACACGCCACCGCGUCACUAACAUCCACCACCACCACAGUCAUCGUCACCUCUGGUGGCCGUGGCAACGGGACUCCUACGUGGCACCGUGUCUGUCAUGAUGAAUUUUUUUUUUUUCCCUCCUCCUUUUGACAUUUUUACUGGUUACAGUGAAUGGAGUUUUAACCCUCUUUCUCUAUCUCUUUCUUUUUUCUUUACUUUUUAAAUAAUCAAAACACCUACUUGCUCUAUUAAAGGACACCUUUUAUUCAAUAAAAAAAAUCCUUCGAAACCAAAUUUGAGGACAUUAUUCUGUGUAUUACACGUGGGAGCGCAUGACCCGGGGCAGACUAAUCGACUACUCGAGCACGCCCCGCCAUCACUUUUCUGCGUUUCCGUAGAGACAAGACUGCUCGGAGCAUAAAACGAGAACAGGAAAAUGUGUUUCUUUUUUUUUUUUUUAAACAAACAAACAGAAAAUGCUGUUCUUUCUCUUGCGUGUUGUGUAAAACAGAAGCCGAGUUUGCUGUUUAAAAAAAAAGAAAAAGGAAAAAAAAGCAGAUGUGUUGCCUCUUGAAGCUUCUCUGGCGAUGCGGCGUGUGUGUGCAUUUUGAUGAAAUGGCAAAUGUCUUGGAAUGGGCCAGUAAAGCGUGUAACCUUUUAAUUAUUUUUGGGUUUUUUGUUUUUUUUGGAAGGCCUUGUGUUAUUUGAAGUCUGUGGACAAUGUGUUGCCUUGGUAUGUGUUGUCGGGACAAGCCAAGCUUGUGGGAUGUGGAUGGGGGGGUGAUGGGGUGGGAUGUUGGGCUCACAUCUGCCACAGGGUGAGAUGAUGAGGAGAGAGGAGGAUGAGGAGAGAGAGGAAGGUGUUUCCAGAUGGACUGAUCCCCAGCUGAUGAUUGCUCAAUAUUGCUACAUUGUUUUUUGGUCGUAUCGGUUUCCACACAUCUGAACUCCCAAGUAUCUGCACUCUUCUGUCCCAUAAAGAAAAGAAAAACACAAACUCACAAACCACCCAGGUUUCUUUCGAUGUUGCUGUUGGCAACAUCCCUUUUUUGUUUCUUUUUUUUACUCCACACUGGGCUGUAGUUUUUGUUUUGUGUUGUUAUUCAACUCAGCUGUUGUUAGGGUAUGGUUUAACUAGGUGUGUGUUGCGUUGCUUAGCUCCCGGUGAACACUCCAGAACAAAGUACCAAGGGGUGCUGCAAGCAAUAACCACGACCUACCUGUUAACACAAUCAGGGUCCAAAUGCAGAACGACACCUCCCAGACACACAAUAGAGGAGACCCAAACCUUCCUCUCUUCAACUCUCACUCUGCCACACACUUUCUUCCAUCCUCACUCCCUCGUUCUCUCACUCACACACACACACACACACACACACACACACGUAUGUUACCCGCAGUCUACCACACACCAGCCGUUGCAGAGGCUUGUUGCAUGUUACGAGGGCCAGUGGUAUUGGCCAUGUCUCUGUGAAGACUUCUGUAGAGGUGCGUCUGUUAUUUCUGGUCAUUUAGGGCGGGUUAGUAAGGUUGGGCAUACAGUACAUUACAUGCGUUUCUACAGUGCUGCUCCGGUCUUCUGUUCCAUACACUACAAGCAUCUUUUUUCUUUUUUCUUUUCUUUCUACCGUACGUUCCUGGUCUUAUGAUAUUCUCCACCAGGAAUUAACUUGACCAUACACACACGAGCUUGGUUCCGUUCUGUAUCACUCAAGUAUGAAAUGAAUAGAAGAUGAUGGAAAAACAAACAAAAAAUGAAUAAUGACAUGGGUGUUUGUUCAAAAUGUUACCUUUUUGUUCCAGCAGGGUGGACUGCUUGUGUAUCAUUUGUCGAGGUUUUUUUUUUUUUUUUUUGCUGGAUAUGAGUCACGCCUUCUGUAAUUGGUUGGUUUCAGUGGAAUGAAGGAUCUUGAGGCCCCUACACCUGGCCAGGUGUGGGUGUAACACACAUACACACACAAUGCCUCAGCACUUGGACCUGUGUCCAUAGGGGCUCGCUCCGUCAUCUAUGUACUGACACACAUACACACACACACUUCUGCCCUUUCUGCUUGUCUGUGUAGAGACUUGUAUUUAAAGGGCCAGCUAUGAAUAUUUUAUUGUUGAUGCUUUUUUUGUUUUUCUUUUGUUCUUUUACUUAUUUAAUUUUUGUUUAAAAGGACCAGUGUUUUCCUCUAAAGCUGGUCCUUACAAGCCUAUUUAUCCCUUAUUGUUGUUUAUCCUUUCAAAUAUGUGACCAUAUUUGCCCUUUUUCUUGUUAAAGAUCUCAUUGAGAGAAAAAAAUAAAGCAGGUUUUGCUUUCUAAGAGAA